CAAUUCCAUAAAUUUAUCAACAAAAAGUACAUAUAAUGUAAAUCCCAAUAAAAUAAGUAGAAAAACGUAUUUAAGAAAAAGCUUUACGAAUCCCCUAAUCAUCAAAGGAAAAUGCCAACAUAGAAAUUGCGAAGAAAAUCUGAAAAUAAGCUACUUUUUGACUUAUUUUGCGCAUUUCAGCUUGGCAUUGGAACAUAUCCCAUCAUUUGAGCAGGCUGCCAUGUUUUCAUUAAGCUUGAAUAAUUGAC
rnacentral:lncRNA from 1 species